rnacentral:rRNA from 2 species
UACGUAGGUGACAAGCGUUAUCCGGAUUUAUUGGGCGUAAAGCGCACGCAGGCGGCGGAUUAAGUCUGACGUGAAAUCUCUCGGCUUAACCGGGAGCGGUCGUUGGAAACUAAUCGGCUUGAGGCGAUGAGAGGGGUGUGGAAUUCCCGGUGUAGUGGUGGAAUGCGUAGAUAUCGGGAGGAACAUCAGUGGCGAAAGCGGCACCCUGGCAUUAGCCUGACGCUCAGGUGCGAAAGCGUGGGGAGCGAACGGG